rnacentral:lncRNA from 1 species
AUGUACCAGCGCCGGAAGUUGGUCUCGACACCUGGACUAGCCGGGUUGUAUUUGGAAACGCGGAGUGAGUUUUUCCGUGCUGUGUAGGGGCUAACAAUGGACACCCAGAAGGACGUUCAACCUCCAAAGCAGCAACCAAUGAUAUAUAUCUGUGGAGAGUGUCACACAGAAAAUGAAAUAAAAUCUAGGGAUCCAAUCAGAUGCAGAGAAUGUGGAUACAGAAUAAUGUACAAGAAAAGGACUAAAAGAUGUAUCCUUUUAACGAUGCUUUCUAAAUAUGAGUUAGGAGGAAAUGAAUAAUGCUGGGGUUGAUAAAGAUUAAUUUCUGGUUAAAAUGAUAACUUUCUGGAUUACAGUACUUAAAAAACAAACAUGAUUAGCAUUUUCAUGGACCAAUGCAUAGGCUCUAAAUAAUCUAAAUAAUGCUAGUUGAUUUUGGUUCUCAUAAAUUUAUUUUUUAGGGAUUCUGUGCAGUCAAGCUUGAGGAUAGGGAUACAUUCUGAGAAUUGUGUCCUUAAGCAAUUUCAUCAUUCCUACAGAAAC